UUUUUUUAAAACAUUAAAAUAUUUUUUCAGCUACUCAAUCUUUGGAAAACUCUGCUACUCAAACUCAAACCCUUAUCACAAAUGAAAGAGGGCGCUCAAAAUUUCAUCAGCCCCGCGAAUCUUUUCACAACCCUAACCUAAAGCCCUUUCAGCGUUAAUUCGUGUGUCCUUCUUUGUCUUUCCAUUUGCAUCUCCUCACAUGAGUUAGAUUUUUCUUUUCUACCUUGUUAAAGUCAUCGGCAAGUGAAAAUUAAGGUGGUUGUUAUGAGUCUUCUAUUGAAUUUCAGAAUCGUAAAAUCAUUUUUCUCACACAUCUCAUGUUCAAAGAAAUUUAGUGAAGGUAAGAUGUUUGUUUCAAUUUGGGGAUUUAGGGUUUAUUCGUUUUAAUGCCCAGGGAAUCAUUUGUUGUUUGUGUUUGUUUUGAUUCUGGGAUUUAUGGUUUUUUUAUUUCCAAACUACUGGUAUUUCAUAUGUUUAUUUCAGGAUGAAUUUUUUGGUUUGAGAGAAAUGUUCCAGACUAUGGAUAUUGAUAGAAGUGGUGUAAUAACUUUCAGUGAACUCAAAGCUGGUCUAAGAAGAUAUGUGUCUAUCAUUUGGUUUGGUUCUGAUUUGCAGAGAGUAAGAGAAAGAGGGUUUCAUUGAAAAAGAGGAUUCUGAUUUGCAGAGAGUAAGAGUAAGAGUAAGAAGAUUCUGAUUUUAAGUUGAUAGUUCAGAUAGGUCUUUUUACAAUGAUUUGGUAAGGCUUAUUGAAACCUCUGAUGUCAUACUGUCGCGUGAUUUAUAAUGCCUUUCAUUUGUUUGUUUAUGCAUGUUGAUUUACUAUGACAUCAGGUAUCUAAAGAUCAGAGACUCUGCAAGCAGGUUCACUAUCCUUCAGUUCGGCGUUGUCUAUUUCGAUGGGAUUCAUCCGACAGCUUAUCUUGUUUAUGUUGAUGACACAACAAGUGUUCCCAAGAAACUCUCAACCAGAUGUGUAGAAAUUGGUUCUAGUCCAUGAGUUGAAUAUAUCGUUGUCAGAUUGACAUAAUGAUGACUUGGAGGCUUGUAGUGCUCCUAGUUCUCUGAUGGUUAGCCUAAGUUGACAAUGGAGGUACUGACUAACAAUAGAGAUGCUAUUAGUGCUGCAAGAGGAGUAGCUGAAAAGGCUGCAAGAUUUAUUUUUUCUGGGAAAUCUUCAUUGGAUUUUGUAUGGAAAUAAUGGAACAUGUUAGGUAUAUGCUCAGUCUUCUGCUAAAUUGAUUAACUCUUGAGAUUCCGGCUACUUCUAGUGUCCUUCAAACGAAUUCUCCUAAUUCACUCACUAAUGAACAUGAACGAAAGGAAGAUUAGAAGCUAAUUUUGUCCUAAUAGAGUAAACUUGAAAAUUAAAUGGAUAUGAUUCGAUUUUGUUGUAACUCUUGAGCACCUUUCCACUCAUGUACAUGAGGCUACAAAUGCUUCUAGACAAAUUCUCGGAAUACAUGCACGGAUGAAGAUGGAAUAGAAGAAGAUUAGAAAUUUCUUUUAUUUUAGAUGUUUUUUUUUUCGUAGCAUCUAUUUUGGUUUUCUUAUUAUAUAAUUGACAUUAGUUUGAUAUUUUGAUAUAUUUGUAUGACUUACUAUUUUGAAAGUAUAAUGGAAAAUUUCUUUGACUUUGUUUUAAAUUUUGUAUGGUGCUUAUAGAAAGGUUUGUCAAAAU